GCCAGGCACACUCAGCCCCCCCCCCCCCCGCAGAGCAGGAGACACGUGUGUUGAGCACCCAGAGCUGCUUCAUUUGUGGGAGCCAUGAGAGUAACCAGGAUUUAUGGUUUUUUAGGGGGGGCAGGUCUCCCCCCUGUCCCCAUCCUCUGUCUGGCUCUGUCCAGCAGAUUCGGAAUGACGUGGGUCAGCAACAGUUGCUUCAAAUUACUUUCUUUUGACCCCAAUUGCUCAGAAAUUUUUUUCUACGAUUUGUAGUUUUGGGU